rnacentral:tRNA from 1 species
GGAGAGGUGGCCGAGUGGCUGAAGGCGCCCGCUUGGAAAGCGUGUAUACGAGCAAUCGUAUCGGGGGUUCGAAUCCCUUCCUCUCCGCCA